rnacentral:rRNA from 1 species
CAGCCGCCACGGGAAUACGAAGGGGGCUAGCGUUGUUCGGAAUUACUGGGCGUAAAGCGCACGUAGGCGGAUAUUUAAGUCAGGGGUGAAAUCCCGCAGCUCAACUGCGGAACUGCCUUUGAUACUGGGUAUCUUGAGUAUGGAAGAGGUUAGUGGAAUUGCGAGUGUAGAGGUGAAAUUCGUAGAUAUUCGCAGGAACACCAGUGGCGAAGGCGGCUAACUGGUCCAUAACUGACGCUGAGGUGCGAAAGCGUGGGGAGCAAACAGGAUUAGAUACCCCCGUAGUCCCUGUCUCUUAUAC